UGAAAGUCAGGUCGGAUUAAGCCAUAGUACGGGAAAAACUAUGCUACCUGUGAGCCCCGUCCAAGGACGUAAAAAGAAGUCAGGCCAUCACAAAAUGCCACAGCUUGAGCAAACUGUGCAGCCUGUAGCUCCACCUGAGGAGGUGUAAAAAACCCGGGAGGCCACAAACCAUGGAAGCUGUACGCAUGGCGUAGUGGACUAGCGGUUAGAGGAGACCCCUCCCUUACAAAUCGCAGCAACAGCGGGGGUGGA
rnacentral:lncRNA from 1 species